AAGUAUGAAUCGCCGCCGCCACCACCAUACAAGUAUGAAUCGCCUCCUCCACCACCAUAUAAGUACGAAUCGCCACCGCCACCACCAUACAAGUACGAGUCGCCUCCUCCACCUCCGUACAAGUAUGAAUCGCCUCCUCCCCCACCAUACUACUACAAAUCACCACCACCACCUCCUUACAAGUAUGAAUCUCCCCCUCCACCUCCAUAUUACUACAAAUCUCCACCCCCGCCACCACCUUACUACUACAAAUCACCACCACCACCUUCUCCUGUCUACAAAUAUAAAUCUCCACCACCACCACCUUACAAGUACGAAUCUCCUCCUCCACCUCCAUACUAUUACAAGUCUCCACCACCACCGCCGUAUUACUACAAGUCUCCACCACCACCACCUCCAGUUUACAAAUACAAAUCUCCUCCUCCGCCACCAUAUUACUACAAAUCACCACCUCCUCCAUCACCAGUAUAUUACUACAAAUCUCCUCCUCCACCAGCGUAUUACUACAAAUCUCCCCCACCGCCUGUCUACUAUUACAAAUCCCCGCCACCUCCAGCUUACCACUACCAAUCGCCACCCCCACCAAGUUACAAGCUGGUAGUGGUCACGGGCAAGGUCUAUUGCAACAGAUGCUGGAACACCACAAGCAGAUACCUUCAGGCAUCACCACAUGGGUCUGCUAGGUACAUUCUCAAUUGCAUUGUAUUCGAUAUUGUUCUCCUCACUCAUUUCCUCUUGAUACUGUGUGCAAUAAUGCAGGUGGCAAAGUGAAGAUCACAUGUGGCGAAUCUUACUACUACGGCUACACCAACAAGCAUGGAAUCUUUAGAAUUGAGCUCCCGCACCAAUCCUGGGAAGAAGCAAGCAGCUGCAAGGCCAAGAUUAUCAAGAGCAGCUACAUCAAGUCGUCAUGCAAUGUCAUCACGGACUACAGGUCUGGUGCAACAGGGGCCAAGCUCAAGUUCAAAUCGAAAACAGAGAAGGAGCUCGUCUUGACAGCCGGUCCUUUCAUCUAUGCAACUCCAGAGCCAUCGUCAGUCUGCUUCUACACAUCACCUCCCUAUGAGUACAAGUCACCUCCGCCACCAACACCGGUCUACCAUUACGCCUCUCCGCCACCUCCGGUCUACUACUACAAAUCGCCACCUCCUCCUUCACCGGUUUACUACUACAAAUCCCCUCCUCCUCCUUCGCCGGUCUACUAUUACAAAUCCCCGCCUCCACCACCAUACUAUUACAAGUCCCCACCUCCACCUCCGCCUAAGUAUUACUACAAGUCGCCCCCACCACCGUCUCCAUACUAUUACAAAUCCCCGCCCCCUCCACCGUACUAUUACAAAUCCCCACCACCACCUCCCUACAAAUACGAAUCGCCGCCGCCUCCUCCUUACAAAUACGAGUCCCCACCUCCACCACCUUACUAUUACAAGUCCCCACCACCACCUCCAUACAAAUAUGAAUCCCCGCCACCUCCAGUCUACAAAUAUGAGUCUCCGCCAC
rnacentral:lncRNA from 1 species